AAAGUUAGUCUAACUAUUAGACUGUCAGACUCUGAAGUGUUUCUUAUUUUGGAAAGGUGAAGACUUGCUUUAGUUUGUUCAUAGUUUCCUUGGCAGCUGCUGAUGGUUUUGAUGGAGAUUCAGAUGGAUUUGGAACUAAUGCUAACUUCUGCUUGGUGAAGAUGCUAACCAAGUUAGAUACUCUUCAGUGAAUUCUGGUACUGUGUACGAUUAAUCCUCAUCCACAGUAUUACGCUGUGCAAGGCUAUAUAUACACAGGAUUAAUCUUUCCAUGAUUUCCACUGCCCUGAAGGAAAUUAGAAUGUAGUCUGGCUCCAAGAAAACACUAGAAACUACUUCAGCUGGUGAUGGAAAAUAGUGGAAUUCUAUACAUCCUUUGAGACAAUGGAAGCAGCAAACCAGCGUUCUUUGGAUUGGGGAAUAUUUUUGGUACUAACUGAAAAACAUCAUUUUAAGCCUGGCCCUGCUUAGAGGAGACUUGUUUUCUCUUCCCUCUCUCCCUCUCUUCCUUUUUUCCCUCCUUCCUCUUUUUCUUUCCUCCUUUCCUUCUUGUCUCCCUCCCUUCUCCUUCCUUCCUUCUUCCUCUUUUUCUUUCCUCCUUCCCUCCCUCCCUCCCUUCCUUCCUUUUUUCCUUUCUCCCCUCCUUCCUUCCUUUUUUUCUUCCUUCCUUCCUCCCUCCCUCCCUUCUUUUCUUCCUUUCUUCCUUUGCCCUAAAACUUGGGGGACCCUGCCUGCUCAUUUUGUUUAGAAUAGAAGAUUACUACUUUUCUCUGAAUUGUCAUUUAUUUUUAGAGAGGUAAGAAAAAAGGGAAUAGCUGCCUUCCAUAUAUACUUAUGACAUGGAGAUUAUCUACUCAUUUAACUUUGCACUGCUAUUGGCUGUUUAUUUGGCUUUUGAAAAAUCAGGUGCUAUUUAUUCAUUGGGCUUGUGGGGAACUCUAGUAGCCCUGAAUGGCAUUUGUGGCAUACUCAAUGAAGUCUAAUUCUUUAUCCUGGCAUUAAAGGCUUACCAAGAUCUGGCCUCAAUCUUGCAAAUGAGCACUCUCUUAUAUACCUGAAGGAAAAGUGCUAAUUUAGCCAACUAAUAGAGAUAGGUAUAAAUACCAAUAUAGACAUAGAUAUGAAACUUUAGUUGCAAAGAAAUGUUUAAUAUGCUUCAAAGUGCAUAUUUCCCUCUUCCAUGCUUUAUUGUCUAUUCUUAUCAGCAGAAAUGUUUUCCUAUUUUUCCUUACCUGUGAUGUACCUAUCCAUCCUUUACAGUUGAGUUCAGAUGCUACUUCUGUCAUGAACCCAUUAUUUAUCCUCCCUGUGAGAAUUCAUUUUUCCCUGUUUUUGGAUCUUACAGCCUUUGAUUUGAGCCCCCAUUUCAGUCUGCUUUAUACUACUGUCUUGCAUGUUUUCCCAUGAUAAAUAAGAUGGUUUUUGGGAAACUGAACUUUGGACUUACUUGAUUCUCUUAUAACACCAGGAAAUUGGCCAAUUCUAGUUGAGUUAUGGAAAUAUGUUGUCUGCUGCAUACCAGGCAAGUUCAAGAAUACCAGCAACUCCUGCUACUUAGGGUAAUGGUACAAGUAGGAUUAAGUGGAUAUAGUUGCUAUCUAUCUGUAGAAGACAAUGAGUGAGUGCUGUCUUAAGUUUGGAAAGUAGUUGAUUCUCUGCAGAGGGGUAUAAACUACUGAUGAAAGGAGAGUGACUCAUUACUCCUAGAGAUUCUGAAUGGGAAGAAUGCCAGCUUUAUGUUUUCUGAUACUGAUUUUUUUUUUAAUAACUUGGUGCAAAAGUAGAACAUUAUUCUAAGAUGACUGUUGUGGAAGAAAAAAAAGGUAGAACAUUAGAGUUGUAAAAAUGUUUUUAACUAUAAAGAGGAAAAAACUGAACUUAUUUAUAAUUCAUUUACCUAGAGAGAACAUUCAACAUUUUGGUCAAUGUAUUUUUUUUCUUUAUAUCUAUGUAGAUAUAUAUUUCUUCAUUUAUUUAACAAAUUGCUACUGACACCCUAUGGUUUGCUGGAAGUGAGCUGUGUAGGAAUAACCAUGAGCCUCUGCUCUGAUGUAAUUUUUAGUGUAUGUUGUAUUUGUUGACAUAUAAUUUUAUAUUUUGCUUUUUUCACUUAAUGUAUCAUGGAAUUUUUUCAUAUCAUUAAAUAUUCUCUUUGUGUGGCACAAUAGUAUUUCAGCAUGUAGAUAUUUUGUAAUUUAUUGAAUGAAUCCUUUUUGUUGCAUAUUUUCAAUUUUGUCUGUAAUUAUAUAGCAAUGCAGGGAAUAGUCCCGUGUAGCAGGUGGAAUUCUAAGAUGAACUCCAGUGACACUUACCUUGUAUAAUUCCCUCUCCCUGUGAACAUGAUGGGAUAUUACUUCCAUGAUUAUGUUAUGUUACUUGCAAGGGAAUUUUGGAGAUAUAAUUAAGGUUGCUAAUCAAUUGACUCUGAAUUAAUCAAAAGGGCAAUAUUCUAGGUAGACCUAACCUAAUCAAGUGAGCACUUUAAGAACAGAGAGUUUUCUCCUGCUUGUGGCAGUAGAGGAAGUCAGAGAGAUUCAAAGUGUGAAAGAGACUCUACAGGAGGAAUGUUCUCCAUUGCUGAAAUGACAAUUUCCCACAGACAAGGACCUGAGGGAAGCCUCUAGAAGCUGAGAGUAGUCCCUGCCAACAGCCAACCAAAAAAACUAGGGACCAUAGUCCUACAACAGCAAGGAACUGAAUUCUGCAAACAAUCUGAUUGCGCCUGGAAGCAAAUUCUUCCCCAGAGCCUCCAGAUAAGAGCCCAGCUUCUGACCAACAUCUUGAUUUCUACCUUGUGAGACCCUAAACAGAGGACCCAGUUGAGCCCACCUGGACUUAAGAUCUACAGAACUGUGAGAUAAUAAAUGGGUGUUGUUUUAAGG
rnacentral:lncRNA from 1 species